CUCCUCUGACGUUAGCGGCGGACGGGUGAGUAACACGUGGAUAACCUACCUAUAAGACUGGGAUAACUUCGGGAAACCGGAGCUAAUACCGGAUAAUAUAUUGAACCGCAUGGUUCAAUAGUGAAAGACGGUUUUGCUGUCACUUAUAGAUGGAUCCGCGCCGCAUUAGCUAGUUGGUAAGGUAACGGCUUACCAAGGCAACGAUGCGUAGCCGACCUGAGAGGGUGAUCGGCCACACUGGAACUGAGACACGGUCCAGACUCCUACGGGAGGCGGCAGUAGGGAAUCUUCCGCAAUGGGCGAAAGCCUGACGGAGCAACGCCGCGUGAGUGAUGAAGGUCUUCGGACCGUAAAACUCUGUUAUUAGGGAAGAACAAAUGCGUAAGUAACUAUGCACGUCUUGACGGUACCUAAUCAGAAAGCCACGGCUAACUACGUGCCAGCAGCCGCGGUAAUACGUAGGUGGCAAGCGUUAUCCGGAAUUAUUGGGCGUAAAGCGCGCGUAGGCGGUUUUUUAAGUCUGAUGUGAAAGCCCACGGCUCAACCGUGGAGGGUCAUUGGAAACUGGAAAACUUGAGUGCAGAAGAGGAAAGUGGAAUUCCAUGUGUAGCGGUGAAAUGCGCAGAGAUAUGGAGGAACACCAGUGGCGAAGGCGACUUUCUGGUCUGUAACUGACGCUGAUGUGCGAAAGCGUGGGGAUCAAACAGGAUUAGAUACCCUGGUAGUCCACGCCGUAAACGAUGAGUGCUAAGUGUUAGGGGGUUUCCGC
rnacentral:rRNA from 1 species